rnacentral:rRNA from 1 species
AGGACGAACGCUGGCGGCGUGCCUAACACAUGCAAGUCGAACGAGGUCCAUCCGGUAGCAAUACCGGUGAAGAUCAAGUGGCGAACGGGUGAGUAGCACGUGAGCAACCUGCCCCGAAGACCGGGACAACACCGGGAAACCGGUGCUAAUACCGGAUGUCCCCACCGAGUCGCAUGGCUUGGUGAGGAAAUGGAUUCCGCUUCGGGAGGGGCUCGCGGCCUAUCAGCUUGUUGGUGAGGUAAUGGCUCACCAAGGCUUCGACGGGUAGCUGGUCUGAGAGGACGAUCAGCCACACUGGGACUGAGACACGGCCCAGACUCCUACGGGAGGCAGCAGUGGGGAAUCUUGCACAAUGGGCGAAAGCCUGAUGCAGCAACGCCGCGUGAGGGACGAAGGCUUUCUGAGUUGUAAACCUCUUUCAGCAGGGACGAUUGUGACGGUACCUGCAGAAGAAGCCCCGGCAACUACGUGCCAGCAGCCGCGGUAAU